UUUUUUUUUUUUAAGUCAAAAUGCUUUUUUUCCCUUCUCAUCUUAAGGUCAGCUCAGAAGGCAGCCAUUUACAGAGAAGAGAGUGGACAUUUAGUGAAAGCAAGCACAAGGGCAAAACUUCACUUUGUCAAAACAAGCAUGGAGAAAAUUAAGCACAGAGCACAAGCCCACCAGGAGAAUUUAAAAGUAUCGACGGAUAACUCAGGCGUGAAGAGACUUCAGGAAGCUCUACUCUAAGUUUCUGCUCAAGCAGGAAGGCUGCUGACCUAUUGCAUCUGGUAUCCAGGAGCUAUAGGAAACCACACUAAGCUAGCAGGGGUAGUUAUGAAGGACCUCACAAGGAAAAAACUGACAAGCUUACCAAUUUAAAGGAUGUUCCACCGUACCUGCAGUGCUGGUGAGACUUCUGAAACAAGAAUCUCUCUACAGAAGUUUAGCCCUCAGCAAAACGGCUCUGCUCUUAUCUAUUUUGAAAUAUCAUCUACUUCUAGCACUCCGAUUUUGUGCAAAUGAUUCUUAUACACUUUGACAUGCCUUAAU